CGAACGCACAGCGAAAGGUGCUUGCACCUUUCAAGUGAGUGGCGAACG
rnacentral:rRNA from 1 species